CCUGGUUGAUCCUGCGAGUGGCAUAUGUUUGUCUCAAAGAUUAAGCUAUGCAUGUCUAAGUAUACAUGGCCAGUACAGUGAAACUGCGAAUGGCUCAUUAAAUCAGUUAUGGUUCCUUUGGUCACUCCAACCAUUACUUGUGGUAAUUCUAGAGCUAAUACAUGCCGACAAGUGCUGACCUCCAGGGAUGUGUUCAUUUAUCAGACAAAAACCAAUCCGGGCUCGCCCGGCCUGUUUGGUGACUCUAGAUAACCUCAGGCUGAUUGCAUGCCCCCAUGGUGGCGACAACGCAUUUGAAUGUCUGCCCUAUCAACCUUCAAUGGUACUUUCUGUGCCUACCAUGGUGACCAUGGGUAACGGGGAAUCAGAGUUCAAUUCUGGAGAGGGAGCCUGAGAAAUGGCUACCACAUCCAAGGAAGGCAGCAGGCAUGCAAAUUACCUACUCCCGACCCGGGGAGGUAGUGAUGAAAAAUAAUACAGGACUCCUUUGAGGCCCUGUAACUGGAAUGGGUACACUUUAAAUCCUUUAAUGAGGAUCUACUGGGGGGCAAGGCUGGUGCCGGCAGCUGCGGUAAUUCUAGCUCUAAUAGCGUAUAUUAAAGUUGCUGCAGUUAAAAAGCUCAUAGUUGGAUCUUGGGAUUGAGCUGGCGGUCUGCCACGAGGCAAGCUACCGCCUGUCCCAGCCCCUGCCUCUCGGCGCUCUCUUGAUGCUCUUAACUGAGUGUCCUGGGGGUCCAAAGCAUUUACUUUGAAAAAAUUAGAGUGUUCAAAGCAGGCUGGUUGCCGGAAUACUCCAGCUAGGAAUAAUGGAAUAAGACUCCGGUUCUAUUUUGUUGGUUUUUGGAACUGGGGCCAUGAUUAAAAGGGACGGCCGGGGGCAUUUGUAUUGCGCUGCUAGAGGUGAAAUUCUUGGACUGGUGCAAGAUGAACAAAAGUGCAAGCAUUUGUCAAGAAUGUUUUCAUUAAUCAAGAAUGAAAGUCAGAGGUUCGAAGACUAUCAGAUACCGUCAUAGUUCUGACCAUAAAUGAUGUCGACUAGUGAUCUGGCAGCAUUAUUCCCAUGACCUGAAGCUGAUACGGAAGGAUGGAUGACAGUCAUUUCCAGGGCCAGGUCGAUCGUCGCAGAAACGGAUCCACUGGUGCAGUUGGGGAACAGAUAUGAAUCCCUGGCUGCACUGGAGGAGAGUGUGGUAGAGGGGAUGGCAUGGGAGGAGCCCCAAUCCAUCCCUGAGCAAGCUGAGGGCCGUACAAGCUCCUGGAGGAAGAAGAGAUGUGUCAUCAUAGUGGGAGACUCCCUACUGAGAGGAGCAGAGGGAAACAUCUGCCGCCCAAAUCCCAUGGCGCAUGAGGUGUGUUGUCUGCCAGGGGCCAAGAUCCGGGAUGUCACGACAAGGAUUCCUGACCUGAUCUGGCCCUUGGACUGCUAUCCCAUGGUCCUUAUCCAUGUGGGAACCAAUGACGCAGCCAGGAGUAGUCCUUCCCAUGUCAUGGGUGACUACAGGGCUCUGGGGGCCAGGCUUAGGGAGACUGGGAUGCAGAUGAUCUUCUCGUCCAUCCUCCUGGUCAGAGAUCACAAUAGGCAUCACAGUGCCUG
rnacentral:rRNA from 1 species